CACAUGCAAGUCGGACGGUAACAGGGAUUGCUUGCAAUCCGCUGACGAGUGGCGCACGGGUGCGCAACGCGUAUAGAACCUACCCUUUACAGGGGGAUAGCCCAGAGAAAUUUGGAUUAAUACCCCGUAGUACCUAUUAGAGGCAUUUCUAAUAGGUUAUAGUUUUCGAACGGUAAAGGAUGGCUAUGCGUCUUAUUAGCUAGUAGGUAAGGUAACGGCUUACCUAGGCUACGAUAAGUAGGGGCCCUGAGAGGGGGAUCCCCCACACUGGUACUGAGACACGGACCAGACUCCUACGGGAGGCAGCAGUGAGGAAUAUUGGACAAUGGGCGGAAGCCUGAUCCAGCCAUGCCGCGUGCAGGAAGACGGCCCUAUGGGUUGUAAACUGCUUUUAUACGGGAAGAAUAAGGGAUACGUGUAUCCUGGUGACGGUACCGUAAGAAUAAGGACCGGCUAACUCCGUGCCAGCAGCCGCGGUAAUACGGAGGGUCCGAGCGUUAUCCGGAAUUAUUGGGUUUAAAGGGUCCGCAGGCGGGCAAUUAAGUCAGAGGUGAAAUGGUGCGGCUCAACCGUAGCACUGCCUUUGAUACUGGUUGUCUUGAGUCAUGGUGGAGUGGCCGGAAUAUGUAGUGUAGCGGUGAAAUGCAUAGAUAUUACAUAGAACACCGAUCGCGAAGGCAGGUCACUAACCAUGUACUGACGCUGAUGGACGAAAGCGUGGGGAGCGAACGGGAUUAGAUACCCCGGUAGUCCACGCCGUAAACGAUGGAUACUAGCUGUCCGCUGCCUUGAGCAGUGGGCGGCCAAGCGAAAGUGAUAAGUAUCCCACCUGGGGAGUACGUUCGCAAGAAUGAAACUCAAAGGAAUUGACGGGGGCCCGCACAAGCGGUGGAGCAUGUGGUUUAAUUCGAUGAUACGCGAGGAACCUUACCAGGGCUUAAAUGCAGAAUGACAGGUUUAGAAAUAGACUUUUCUUCGGACAUUUUGCAAGGUGCUGCAUGGUUGUC
rnacentral:rRNA from 1 species